UAGGAGCCUCUCCUCGGGGAACUGAUCGACCAGUUUGGUAGGCUAGUUGCCUGUAGGGGGAGAGAUUACCCCGGGAAAACAUUUUCCCUGGUUCACAACAAAAAACGUUUGCUGGGCGCGGGCGGAGGGGGAGACAGACUGUAGGAGGACAGGUGACUAAUUAAGGAGAAGAAUUUUUGAUUAUCUGUUGUUUCAGCUUAUCAGAGCAAUUGCUUCCCUCUGUUAACAUGGGUAAUUAAGAACUGACUGUGUAGGUGAUUCAAACCUUCCUCGCUCACAUGAAGUUCUCUUCAGUAAUACACAAGCAUGCACAGAAUUAUUCACUGGAAGGGAUGGACAUCCUUCCAGUGUUUGCUGUCAAAUAUAAUCUCGUCCAACUUCCAUUAAAUUAUCGAUUAGGUGGAGAGCUCCCUUAAACAAGAGCAUCUAUCUGUCAUCGAUCUCUCAUCUGUUAGGUACAUAGUUCUGUAAGUUGAACAAAAUAUUCACAAUAGUAAUGUUACUCUUGCCCCACCUCUCCCCACCCUUUUGACUUCUUUAGGUUCUUUAGGCUAAGAAUACAGGCUAAGGCUUAUAUAACAUUUUAUGCUGUCUCCCUGUAGUUCUUGAUAAGGCAGAGAAUAAGAAACAAGGCCGUUUGGAAAAUGUGAACAGGAAAUAGUUAAACACAAGCACAGAAUGCUGUUACAAUGAGGAAGAGCCUUGCCUCAUGCCUCGGCCCCAUGUACCAAGCGUGGACGACCAGCAGAAUUUUCCGCUGUUUCCUGAAAUAAGCCCAAGAACACUCUGACUCCCAGCAUCUCCCAGCACUUACAGGGGCCUAUUCAGACGAGGAGCCCUAAAGCUGACCCGAAGCUUCAUGAGCUGCUUCACCUUUAUGGUAACAAGGUGAGCACCUUUUUGGGAGCACCUAUCUUAGUUUGGAGUUGUUAAAUCAUUAACAUGUCUAUUUUAUUAAUCUCUUCCUCCCCUAGUAGACGGUGUUCUGUGAGAUCAGGGACCAUGUCUAACUUUGCCAAUCAUGAAAUCUUUAGUGUUUAGUGUGGUGCCCGAGACGGAACAGGUGCUCGAUAAAUAUUUCUUUGCCUAGCACAGUGCCUGACAGGGUUCAGUGUUGGGCUGAAUGGAACAGAUAGAAGCCCUACCCUUCCCUCACUUUCUGUAGGCAGAAUGCCAACCUCCAAAUAGUCAAUGUAAGCAAAGCUGUCUGGGAUAACUUAUGAAAGGGAAGAAUGGAGAAGGAAGCAAAUGGUUUGCUUAGGGUGGGCCUAGACGGGCUUAGACUGGGAAGCUGGGGGGGUUAGUGUGAGUGGUGCUGGAACUGCCAUACUUUAGUGCCCCCCACUCCCCCUCUAAGCCUCGUGGGGGAUGGGCGGGAGGCUGUGCAUAACAGCAAACUGAAGGGAAAAGGUGCAGGAAAUCAGAAAGCAGUCAGCGAACAUCAUUAGAAUGAGCCAGUAAUAAUCAUAAUAACAGUCAUUUACCACGUUUUAGGCCCCGAGCUCCAUACUGUCCCAUACAUUAUCUCAUAUCUUGCUCAUAAUGAGUCUGUGAGAGAUAUUAUCUCCAUUUCAUGCUGUGGAAACUAGGACUCGUGUUGGUACAGAACUUGGCAGUGUUCCCAUGGAAGUCCAAGGCACUCCAACCCUGCUCUUUCUGAGUUCUGAGCCAGAAUUCCCGUUCAACCUGUGUACUAUUAGCUGGAAGAAGAGUCUAGAAACAGGCAGAGCCUCCUGUGAGUGGGGGUCAAAGCAGCUUCCAGGGUGCACCUUGGUCAGUUGCCAGAGAGCCAGACAGAAGAAGGGAUUUAUUGGCCACUGGGCAGGGGACCUGUGGGAGCAGGAUUUGGCUUGAGCCAUGACUAGGUUGGAAGUAGGGUGGGACCAGGAAGGAUGAGACCAAUGACAAUGAAAGGUGAACAUCCAGCACCUAGGAGAGCUCCAGGUUCGCUUCUCCUGGGUGGGGCAAAGCUGGACCUGGCAAUGCUAUUGGCCCUCUCUUUUGCCCACGGAGCCCCCCCAGGUCAAGCCAUCUAUUCAUCGAUGUGACUGGGUGGCACGCACUGCCUGCGGGCAGCUCACAACACUUGUGAGCUGCGUGUUAAGCAGAGGAGAUGUAUGCCAGACUUCUAGGUUGUAGCCCAGCUACGUCCCAGAACCCAGACCCUGCCCUGAAUUCUUGAGCAGUGGAAACAGCAGGGACAGCUGUGAAAACAAGCAGCCUUGCUCAUCUUGGCAUUGAGUUAUAGAGCACAUCGCCAUUAUAGAGGGAAUCAGUAACAUCUGUCUUUCCUGGCCCUUAUUUAACUUAUUCUACUUAGGAAGCCUCCCCCUGUUCCCACUCUGUAACUACUGUAAAUGAUGCAAAAGAGCAGCAAGAGACAGAGACAGAAAGAGUGAGGGAGAAUUAAUUUACCACUGGGUGAAAUGAAAAUGUACUGAAGUGUAAUGGAAUUUCAUUAACUUCGGAAAUGAUGAUGAAUGCUGUCCAAAUAAUUCUUACUAAUGCAUAAUUCACAGCUGAAAAUAGAGCCAAACUCUCCUAAAAAGCACAUCCAUUUAUGCCCCCAAAUUAAUUUGGUGUGUUAUUCAGGAUGGUUGACAGGAUAAAAGAUCUACUAUGAAAUGUAAUCAUCUAUUAAGAUUGGGAAUCUAUGAGUCUUUCUAGUUUAGUAGAUGAGGGUAGCUGAUAACAAGUGGCAUCUUGAGAGGCAGACACCCACAGUCCUCAUUCUCAUAAUUUGAAUCUCCCCAAAGACAUAAUUUCAGACAUAACCACGGAGAAGUUAGGAUGAGCUUUGAGAUCUCCAUAGCAACCACGACCCAGUUCAUAUAUAUAUCCCAAAAGGAAAUUAAAAUCCCUUUCAACAGAUUCAAAUGGGGUCAGGAAAAGACCCAUACCUUUUCUGACUGGCAAUGUUUUUACAUUAUAUGUUUAUAUAAUAUAUAAAUUAUAUAGAUCAUAUAUUAUAUACAUUUACAUAUAAUUAGGUGGAAAGGUUUAAAAAUUACUUUCCCAUUUUGUUCAAUACUGUCUUUCCUACUCCACAAACUCUCAGCGACAUUUAUCACUUAAUGUCUCAAGAUAUAAUAAUCCCUUCAUUAAAACCCACUUAGGCUUUUUGUGUACUCAGGGGAGUGGUAAUGGGGGAGAGACCUUUUCACCUUUAGAUCUGACACAAACCCCCACUGUGGUUGGCAGAGAGACUCUAUUAUUAAGUAGGAGGGUAGCUAUUGGCUCAGCUUCUACCAAUGGGAAUAUGUAAUCAGAGGCCAGUCAACACCCUACAGUGGAGGCAUCCUGGCUCUUACCCCUGAUUGGUCCCUUCAGCCAAUUAGAGAGAACCUUGGUCAGACAUGUGAAUAGUAAUGUUAGGGAUGACUUCAGGAAUCCUCUGAAUUCCUUCCCCAGGGUGGAUUGUACUGUGUGGAGGUGGAGGUGUCAUGGGGGGAGCAUUGCCUUCCAAGGCGACCUCUAUUUGUCUAAAUGGCCAGACCUUAUGAUUUGAGGUGCUGGGGUGGUAAACAAGCACACUGGCUGCUGAUACAGGGGAUAUGAUGCAGGGGGAGGCAGCCCUUGGGAAGAAUCCACCAAUGGGAAGCCUUAGUUGCAGGGCCAUCAACACCCAACAAUGGAGGCAUCAUGGCUCCUCCCCACCAUGGAUCCCUCUGCCACUCAGAGAGUACCCUGUUGCUGACAUAUGAAUAGUGAUAUCAGGGAUGACAAAUGCUACCCGUGCAGGUCUUUUACCAAAGAUGAGGUCUAGUUGGUGGAAAUGGGACUACUACCUUCCAAGACCACCCCUAUUCCUCCUAAUGGCUUGACCCUAUGAUUUAGAAAGCAUCUGGUGGUGAGGAGCACAUUGGUUGCUGAUAGUGUUGGUGACAAAGUAG